GUGAAAUAAAGUCGUCUCGCGGGAGAACUCUAGUUUGUACGAACCAAACCAAACAUGUUCAUUCUUGUACGAGACUGUUCGUCUUUGUCCGGCUCAGCCAGCUGGGCUCAGUCGGUGUAUGGAACUCGUAGCGCGAUCAGUACUUUUGCAGGCGUUCGGCAGAUAUGGUGCAGGUGUUUCCCGGAGUGGCUCAAAAUGUCGAUCUCGGACAACAUUGGCGGUGUGCUGAGCUGCUGAGAGGCUUCAAAAAGGCCAAAAUGGUGCUACCGCUGCUCCCUUGUCGGCUGGUUGAGGAGGGAUAAUCGCCGGCCCGGAAUCUUUUGACGAAACCCACGACUCCCACGCACUCGAAGCUCCUCUCUGCCGGAAAUAAUACAGUUCAAAAAAGAAGAAGAAAUCCAUUCGAGGAUAAAGGCUAAGCUGCUCCCCAACUCCACGCACCCCCUCACGGUUCAUGAUUUGGGGGACACAAAAGAAGACUGUGGGGACAAAUCCGGAACAAAGAAGAAAAAGAAGCAAGCUAAGAAGACAAAAGCGCAAAGAAGAUGGCCCUCCCAAAGGACAUUAUCGAGCUUAUGAAGAAAUCUGGCUGUUAUACGGUGACACAUCUGAUAUCGACUAUUUCCGCUCUGCUGCUGCUGCUGCUGCUCGUGACAGGACUUGCCCUUGACGAGGACCUUCCGGCACCGGAACGGCCCUCCCCGCUGGUGGCGGCGGCGCCGGCAUGUACGACGGCAAACAUGGCUUCAAGAAGCUGAUCCAAUAAAAUUAUCGCAGUGAAAUUAA